AAUCUGCCUUUCAAUGGUUACGAAAAUAGAGAUCGCCGUCAUUGUUGCCGUCAUUGAAAAAUCAACCACGAAGUCAUUCCUCUCCCGGAAGAAUGGCGUCCCCUUGAGCACCAAUGCUCCGACGAGAUAGACUAGCAGCGCCACCGUGCCGGUGUAUGCACCAAAUUUGUAGGCAUGUCCCUUGUCCUCCGGCUGGAGUAUGAGCGCCGGCGCCGCCGCCGCACAAGCUACCCCGGCCACCGCCACAGUGAACUCGGUGACCGGAGAUGUACCGAACGUCCGGAGCUGCCUCAGCAGAUAUUGAGCCGCCAUUAGAGAGAGAUUGACCAAGCUAAGGGUGAGAGAGAGAGAGAUACUUGGGUGGUGUUUGGAAACUGGGAUGGUUCGUGCUUCUGUCUGAGAAGAGUAUG
rnacentral:lncRNA from 1 species